AGUGCAUGUGGUGGAUGCCUUGGCAGUCAGAGGCGAUGAAAGACGUGAUAGCCUGCGAAAAGCUCCGGGGAGGCGGCAAAUAUCCUUUGAUCCGGAGAUUUCUGAAUGGGGGAACCCACCUACUUUAAGGUAGGUAUUGCAACAUGAAUACAUAGUGUUGCAAGGCGAACGAGGGGAAGUGAAACAUCUCAGUACCCUUAGGAAAAGAAAUCAAUUGAGAUUCCCUCAGUAGCGGCGAGCGAACGGGGAUCAGCCCAUUAAGUUAUGUGUGUUUUAGUGGAACGCUCUGGGAAGUGCGAACGUAGAGGGUGAUAUUCCCGUACACGAAAGGGCACACAUAAUGAUGACGAGUAGGGCGAGGCACGUGAAACCUUGUCUGAAUAUGGGGGGACCAUCCUCCAAGGCUAAAUACUCCUGACUGACCGAUAGUGAACCAGUACCGUGAGGGAAAGGCGAAAAGAACCCCUGUGAGGGGAGUGAAAUAGAUCCUGAAACCGCAUGCAUACAAGCAGUGGGAGCACCUUCGUGGUGUGACUGCGUACCUUUUGUAUAAUGGGUCAGCGACUUAUAUUCAGUAGCGAGGUUAACCGUAUAGGGGAGCCGUAGAGAAAUCGAGUCUUAAUAGGGCGUUUAGUUGCUGGGUAUAGACCCGAAACCAGGCGAUCUAUCCAUGAGCAGGUUGAAGGUUGGGUAACACUAACUGGAGGACCGAACCCACUGUCGUUGAAAAGCCAGGGGAUGACUUGUGGAUAGGGGUGAAAGGCUAAUCAAGCCUGGUGAUAGCUGGUUCUCCCCGAAAGCUAUUUAGGUAGCGCCUCGGACGAAUACCAUAGGGGGUAGAGCACUGUUUCGGCUAGGGGGUCAUCCCGACUUACCAAACCGAUGCAAACUCCGAAUACCUAUGAGUACUAUCCGGGAGACAGACUGCGGGUGCUAACGUCCGUAGUCAAGAGGAAAACAAUCCAGACCGCCAGCUAAGGCCCCAAAAUCAUAGUUAAGUGGGAAACGAUGUGGGAAGGCAUAGACAGCUAGGAGGUUGGCUUAGAAGCAGCCACCCUUUAAAGAAAGCGUAAUAGCUCACUAGUCGAGUCGGCCUGCGCGGAAGAUGUAACGGGGCUAAAACUAUGUGCCGAAGCUGCGGAUUUGACAUUAGUCAAGUGGUAGGGGAGCGUUCUGUAAGCCGAUGAAGGUGUAUUGAGAAGUAUGCUGGAGGUAUCAGAAGUGCGAAUGCUGACGUGAGUAACGACAAAACGGGUGAAAAACCCGUUCGCCGAAAGACCAAGGGUUCCAGUCCAACGUUAAUCGGGGCUGGGUGAGUCGACCCCUAAGGCGAGGCCGAAAGGCGUAGUCGAUGGGAAAUUGGUUAAUAUUCCAAUACUUCUGUGUAAUGCGAUGAGAGGACGGAGAAGGUUAAGUCAGCCUGGCGUUGGUUGUCCAGGUGGAAGGAUGUAGGUAUGUAUCUUAGGCAAAUCCGGGGUACUCUAUACUGAGAUCCGAUAGCAAGCUGUACUUGUACAGUGAAGUGGCUGAUACCAUGCUUCCAGGAAAAGUCUCUAAGCUUCAGUUACACAGGAAUCGUACCCGAAACCGACACAGGUGGUCAGGUCGAGUAGACCAAGGCGCUUGAGAGAACUCUGCUGAAGGAACUAGGCAAAAUGGUACCGUAACUUCGGGAGAAGGUACGCUGUUGUUGGUGAUGGAACUUGCUUCCUGAGCUGACGACAGCCGCAGAAACCAGGCCGCUGCAACUGUUUAUUAAAAACAUAGCACUCUGCAAACACGAAAGUGGACGUAUAGGGUGUGAUGCCUGCCCGGUGCUGGAAGGUUAAUUGAUGGGGUUAGCGUAAGCGAAGCUCUUGAUCGAAGCCCCAGUAAACGGCGGCCGUAACUAUAACGGUCCUAAGGUAGCGAAAUUCCUUGUCGGGUAAGUUCCGACCUGCACGAAUGGCAUAAUGAUGGCGGCGCUGUCUCCAGCAGAGGCUCAGUGAAAUCGAAAUCGCUGUGAAGAUGCAGUGUACCCGCGGCUAGACGGAAAGACCCCGUGAACCUUUACUGCAGCUUGACACUGAACUUUGACCUUACUUGUGUAGGAUAGGUGGGAGGCUUUGAAGUUGGAACGCUAGUUCCAAUGGAGCCGUCCUUGAAAUACCACCCUGGUAAUGUUGAGGUUCUAACUCUGUCCCGUUAUCCGGGACGAGGACCGUGUCUGGUGGGUAGUUUGACUGGGGCGGUCUCCUCCUAAAGAGUAACGGAGG
rnacentral:rRNA from 1 species